rnacentral:lncRNA from 1 species
UGGCAGGCGCCUGUAAUUUUCCAGCUACUUGGGAGUCUGAGACAGGAGAAUCGCUUGAACCAGGAAGUGGAGGUUGCAGCAAGCCGAGAUCAUGCCACUGCGCUCCAGCUUCGGCAACAGAGCGAGACUCUGUCUCAAAAAAAAAAGCACCAGUCAGAGGGCCUCCAUUCUGGUAGCUUUAUGACAAGGUGGUGAGUUAGUUCUUGCCAUCCAGAUUCCCGGGACUGCCCUCUUCCUGUCUGUUCCUAAACCUGGUUCUCAUAUCCAGCUUCAGUUAGCUGGUGUCAGCUUCCGUUGCUUGUAGCCAGAGCUUCCUGAUGGAAUGUAGAGGCUGUUAUUGGACAGCGCGGCACCCAGGGUCUCAGCCACUUCAUCCAUCUGCAGACCUGGAUCCGCGGGCAUCGCUGUGGGCAGGUCUCAGAGACAGACAGUUGAAGGGAAAAUCGUGUUGCAGGAUGAUAGCAUCUGUGUACAUUUUCAAAGCACACGAAACACUGUAAACUGUUUACAGAUUCAAACAUAUGUAGUAAAAUUAUUAAAAUGAAAUGGGAAAUAUACACACCGAAUUUGUGUCAGUGGCCACCUCUGGGGAGGGGUACAAAGGAGACUUCACCUGGAUCUGCAAUGUUUUAUUUCCAAAAAAUAGACCCAAGGCAAGUAUGUGAUGCUACUGUGUUGGGUGUAUGGGUGUAUUCUCUGUGCUGCUCUGAAUUUUUGUCCUAAUAAAACGUCAGAUCAAACGAAGGACCUUCCUAGCUCUGAGGUGCAGGGAGUCAUGGGCUGAGAUCCUGGUGGGGCCCCAGGGGGACCUGGUAUGGAGCACAAGGAGACCCUGGCCUGGGACAGUUCAAUUUCAUAGGGAAUGAGGGUCAGGCCGGGAUAAACCAGGAGGCAGAGAGUGUGCGCAUGCGCCAUUCGGGUGGCCAGAGAAAGCCCAGGUAGGCAGGGGAGAGAAAGCCGCUGAUGACUGGAAGGUGGGCAUGGAGGGCAGGGUGGGAAGUGCUAGGACAAGACUUGUGAAAGGCGUGAUCCUGGCCUUGAAGGACAGCUAGGGGCUAGACACGUAGAUCAGUUUGCAGAAGGAUACACAUAACCAACUGGAAGCGUACACAUUAUUCUCUUGUCGUCGUUAUAACAAAGCAUAUUUUAAAAAUAAAAACUAAGAAAAACUUUAAAAAAUGAAAAAUACUGGAAAGGAUCAAGAAGAAAAUGACCAUCCAUAAUUUCAUCAUGCAGCUGUAAAUAACCACUUUGGACAUUUUAAUGCAGCUCCUCCUGUCUUGGCUACAAAAGACAGAUACUCUCUGAGAGUCAGGCAUCAGCGUAAAUACAGAGCAUUUUACACAAAGUCAAUGGGUUACCAUUUGUGCAGUGGUUUUCCUGUUGAAAACAGGUUUGUGAUCAUGAAAGGUACAAAAGACAGAAUAGCAAAUGCUUCAUAAUGUUUACUGUGGCAGGCAUGGUCCUAAAUGCUUUAUAUAUGCUAGCCCAUUCAAUCUUCACAACCCCAUAAAGUAUUUUGCUUUUGUGCUAUGAUGAAUUCCCAUUUUUCAGAUGAGGAAACUGAGGCCCAGGGAGCCUGUCCAAGGUUACAGAGCUGAUGUGUAUCUCUGGAUUUCAAAACUGGGUGGGAAAAGGCCACAGAAAGCCUUUGCUCCUUGCACAGAAGACAGCGUGAUUUGCGAUGCUUCUGGCUCCAGAGUGCUGCCACAUGGCGCCUGUCCCUCUUUCCCCAGAAGCCCGGAGAAGGCGGCAAGGCCAAGAUGGCAGAAUAGAAACAACUCCGGUCUGCAGCUCCCAGCGUGAUC